rnacentral:rRNA from 1 species
UACGUAGGGAGCAAGCGUUGUCCGGAAUCAUUGGGCGUAAAGCGCGCGUAGGUGGCCCCAUAAGUCCGCUGUGAAAGUCAAAGGCUCAACCUUUGAAAGCCGGUGGAUACUGUGGGACUAGAGUACGGAAGAGGCGAGUGGAAUUCCUGGUGUAGCGGUGGAAUGCGCAGAUAUCAGGAGGAACACCAAUAGCGAAGGCAGCUCGCUGGGACGUUACUGACACUGAGGCGCGAAAGCGUGGGAGCGAACAGG